AUAAAAACGAUGACGGAGAAAAGUAUCUUGUCUGUUGACCAUGUAGGGAGAAAGUGCCGUGACUGAAAGCACUUUUAUGGUUCGGGGCUUGAGAAGUUCACCUCCCGAGUUGGCAUCGGGACCAUUUUUUGCGAAAGAAAUGUAAAGAUGCACCGGCACAUGCCGUUAUCCGAAUGAAGCGAACACAAUGUUUCCAUACAUAUCGUGUUUACAAGGGUGGUACCGCGAAAACAAACCUCGUCCCUUUC
rnacentral:ncRNA from 1 species